GUGAUUCUUCUGCCUCAGCCUCCCAAGUAGCUGGGAUUACAGAAACUCCUCCUACCCAUGGAAUCUGCCAGCAGUUGGAUUCUUGACUAUCUUUAGGACUUUUCCUAAUCUCACCUUCUCCAUCUGUGAAAUGGAAAUAAUCAAAGGCUCAACAAUCCUUCUGUGAAAGAGGCAUAUUUUGUGGUGCUAUGUGCUGAUCUUCCACACAGCCAAAUGGAGGCAGAGGUCACAGAGGAACUAGAAGGAUGGAAAACUGCAGGAGAGUCUCGUUGCCAUCACUCAGUCAAUCAACCAGUUUUGGAUACCUGCCAUGUGCCAAGCCCUGACUGCAGUAAAAAGGAUACCAAAAUAAAUUACUUACUGCUCUCAAAAAGCAAACCGUUUGCUGGCAGACUUGAUCAUAUACCAAUGA
rnacentral:lncRNA from 1 species